rnacentral:tRNA from 1 species
UCGGGAGUGCUCCAGUGGCAACGAGAACGGACUGUAAAUCCGCCGUCUAACGACUACGUAGGUUCGAGUCCUACCUCCCGAA